CAUGCAAGUCGACGAGUUCUCGUUGAUGAUCGGUGCUUGCACCGAGAUUCAACAUGGAACGAGUGGCGGACGGGUGAGUAACACGUGGGUAACCUGCCCUUAAGUGGGGGAUAACAUUUGGAAACAGAUGCUAAUACCGCAUAGAUCCAAGAACCGCAUGGUUCUUGGCUGAAAGAUGGCGUAAGCUAUCGCUUUUGGAUGGACCCGCGGCGUAUUAGCUAGUUGGUGAGGUAAUGGCUCACCAAGGCGAUGAUACGUAGCCGAACUGAGAGGUUGAUCGGCCACAUUGGGACUGAGACACGGCCCAAACUCCUACGGGAGGCAGCAGUAGGGAAUCUUCCACAAUGGACGCAAGUCUGAUGGAGCAACGCCGCGUGAGUGAAGAAGGCUUUCGGGUCGUAAAACUCUGUUGUUGGAGAAGAAUGGUCGGCAGAGUAACUGUUGUCGGCGUGACGGUAUCCAACCAGAAAGCCACGGCUAACUACGUGCCAGCAGCCGCGGUAAUACGUAGGUGGCAAGCGUUAUCCGGAUUUAUUGGGCGUAAAGCGAGCGCAGGCGGUUUUUUAAGUCUGAUGUGAAAGCCCUCGGCUUAACCGAGGAAGCGCAUCGGAAACUGGGAAACUUGAGUGCAGAAGAGGACAGUGGAACUCCAUGUGUAGCGGUGAAAUGCGUAGAUAUAUGGAAGAACACCAGUGGCGAAGGCGGCUGUCUGGUCUGUAACUGACGCUGAGGCUCGAAAGCAUGGGUAGCGAACAGGAUUAGAUACCCUGGUAGUCCAUGCCGUAAACGAUGAAUGCUAGGUGUUGGAGGGUUUCCGCCCUUCAGUGCCGCAGCUAACGCAUUAAGCAUUCCGCCUGGGGAGUACGACCGCAAGGUUGAAACUCAAAGGAAUUGACGGGGGCCCGCACAAGCGGUGGAGCAUGUGGUUUAAUUCGAAGCAACGCGAAAACCUUACCAGGUCUUGACAUCUUUUGAUCACC
rnacentral:rRNA from 2 species